CCUACGGGAGGCAGCAGUGGGGAAUCUUGCGCAAUGGGCGAAAGCCUGACGCAGCGACGCCGCGUGGGGGAAGAAGGCCUUAGGGUUGUAAACCUCUUUCAGGUGGGACGAAGCCACUCGGGUUAAUAGCCCAGAGGGUGACGGUACCGCCAGAAGAAGCCCCGGCUAACUACGUGCCAGCAGCCGCGGUAAUACGUAGGGGGCAAGCGUUGUCCGGAUUUAUUGGGCGUAAAGAGCGUGUAGGCGGCUAGGUAGGUGGGUUGUGAAAACUGGAGGCUCAACCUUCAGACGUCGACCCAAACCCCCUGGCUAGAGUCCGGAAGAGGAGAGUGGAAUUCCUGGUGUAGCGGUGAAAUGCGCAGAUAUCAGGAAGAACACCCGUGGCGAAGGCGGCUCUCUGGGACGGUACUGACGCUGAGACGCGAAAGCGUGGGGAGCGAACAGGAUUAGAUACCCUGGUAGUCCACGCCGUAAACGAUGGGUGCUAGGUGUGGGGGGUGUCGACUCCCCCGUGCCGAAGCUAACGCAUUAAGCACCCGCCUGGGGAGUACGGCCGCAAGGCUAAAACGUCAAAUGAAUUGACGGCUGGNGAGUUGCGAGCGACGACGAGGGAGAGG
rnacentral:rRNA from 1 species